rnacentral:tRNA from 1 species
GACCCGGUAGCCAAGCGGUUAGGCAGUGGUCUGCAAAACCAUAUAGAUGGGUUCAACUCCCGUCCGGGUCU